rnacentral:rRNA from 1 species
GACGUAGGGCGCGAGCGUUGUCCGGAUUUAUUGGGCGUAAAGAGCUCGUAGGCGGCUUGUCGCGUCGUCCGUGAAAACCUGGGGCUCAACUCCAGGCUUGCGGUCGAUACGGGGCAGGCUAGAGUUCGGUAGGGGGAGACUGGAAUUCCUGGUGUAGCGGUGAAAAUGCGCAGAUAUCAGGAGGAACACCGGUGGCGAAGGCGGGGUCUCUGGGCCGAUACUGA